CUACGGGGGGCUGCAGUCGAGAAUCUUCCGCAAUGGACGAAAGUCUGACGGAGCGACGCCGCGUGCGGGAUGAAGGCCUUCGGGUUGUAAACCGCUGUCAGUGGGGAGGAAAUGCAUCAGGGUUCUCCCUGGUGUUUGACCGAUCCGCAGAGGAAGCGCAGGCUAAGUUCGUGCCAGCAGCCGCGGUAACACGAACUGCGCGAACGUUAUUCGGAAUCACUGGGCUUAAAGAGCUCGUAGGCGGCCUUUCAAGUCGGGUGUGAAAUCCCUCGGCUCAACCGAGGAAUUGCGCCUGAUACUGUUGGGCUUGAGGGGGAUAGGGGUGAGCGGAACUGAUGGUGGAGCGGUGAAAUGCGUUGAUAUCAUCAGGAACACCGGUGGCGAAGGCGGCUCACUGGAUCUCUUCUGACGCUGAGGAACGAAAGCUAGGGGAGCGAACGGGAUUAGAUACCCCAGUAGUC
rnacentral:rRNA from 1 species